rnacentral:rRNA from 1 species
UCGCGGCCUAUCAGCUUGUUGGCGGGGUAACGGCCCACCAAGGCAUCGACGGGUAGCUGGUCUGAGAGGACGAUCAGCCACACUGGGACUGAGACACGGCCCAGACUCCUACGGGAGGCAGCAGUGGGGAAUCUUGCGCAAUGGGCGAAAGCCUGACGCAGCAACGCCGCGUGGGGGACGAAGGCUCUCGGGUUGUAAACCCCUUUCAGGAGGGACGAAAUUGACGGUACCUCCAGAAGAAGCCCCGGCCAACUACGUGCCAGCAGCCGCGGUAACACGUAGGGGGCGAGCGUUGUCCGGAUUUAUUGGGCGCAAAGAGCUCGUAGGUGGCUCGGUAAGUCGGGUGUGAAAUUUCGAGGCUCAACCUCGAGACGCCACCUGAUACUGCUGUGGCUAGAGUCCGGUAGGGGAGCGUGGAAUUCCUGGUGUAGCGGUGAAAUGCGCAGAUAUCAGGAGGAACACCAGCGGCGAAGGCGGCGCUCUGGGCCGGUACUGACACUGAGGAGCGAAAGCGUGGGGAUCAAACAGGAUUAGAUACCCUGGUAGUCCACGCCGUAAACGUUGGGCACUAGGUGUGGGGUUCUAUCAACGGACUCCGUGCCGAAGCUAACGCAUUAAGUGCCCCGCCUGGGGAGUACGG